UUUUCUCUCCGUACCGAUCUUUUUGGGUCGAGAUUACUCGUUGGUUAAUGGCAGCAAGUGAUCUCAAGUCAAAAGCCCACCUAUUUGAGUGCUUAGGUACCGCCGAUUGUUAUGACCAGAAGAGGCCAUAUAUACAUACACCCACUCGAUGGUUUGUCACCACCCGUCAUGACAUGGCUGCCAUCCUCGUCCAGCUACUGGUGUCAGCCCUUCUUCUUCUCCUUCUCGUGACCAAUGGAGCGUCCUCGGCGAGGCCACACCCUCCCCCGGCUUCCGCCGGCGAAGCUCCGAAGGCUCCAAGGAUCAGCUCAACAUUAGCGGAGAAGGAGUCGGAGGCGGGUGCCAGCAGGAAGCGCGUGCCGCCUUCUGGGCCGAGCAACAAGGGACACGGCUCGCCGGAAUCCUCCACGCGCCAUCUGCUGCACCUGCACGCCGACCACGGUUGUGCCGGAAGACAGCGUUCCAUUUACGCGUCUGGUUAUGCACAGCCAAUGCAAAUCUCAUCGUUGCUUUCGCCCCUUCUCUUCGUCCGUGCGGAAAGUGUCAUCUCCAAAGUUGAUCGAUCGCUCACGGAGAUGACAGGAACGACUCGAUCCGAUCGAAACCUGAUAUGGAUUUGGUCAACGGUCAACUCGACGCGCCGAAAAUGUUCGUCUACUGUCUGGGUGGAACUCCUCGGAGACCUACAAAAAAAGAUAGGUGUCGUAUUUUAAGAUUGUCAUUCUAAUACAAGUUGGUGGAGAUCCGAGGUAAAGAGUUGGGGGAGAGAGAGAGAGAAAUGCUUUUGCAUAGGGGAUUAGCCCUCUAAUCGAUCUCUCAUUAAAACAAAUUAGCCGUAAUUUUUUUUAUCGUGAUUUAAAUAAAUACUAUUGAAAUAGUUUUUAUAUGUGUUAUAUUAACUUUAAUCUUUUUAUUAUAAUUCUUAAAAAUUAUAUUUAUAAAUAUCUUAUAAAUUAUGAUUAUUAAAAAUCAUAAGAAAAAAUAGACGUAUAAUAUUUUGCUCACGCUUCAUUUUGGCUUCUAACCUGCGCUUCACGGCUCUUUAUUUUCUUUCUCUCGACUUCUGUUUUAGGGUUAGAAACCGUCGGCGGAAGCUUUCCUCUCCGCUGCCGUCGGCGGAUUCCCGCCCCCCUCCCCCCUGCUUCCACGGGCGAAAGCUUCCUCUCCGCUGCCGUUGGUGGAUUCCUGGCCCCUCCCUCCCCACCCCACUGCUUCCUCUGCUUCCACGGGUGAAAACUUCCUCUCCGCUGCUGUUGGUGGAUUCCUGGCCCCUCCCCUCCCCCCCUGCUUCAACUGCUUCCGCCGGCGGAAGCUUCCUCUCCGCUGCCGUCGGCGGAUUCCAGCCUCCCUCUCCCUGCUUCUUCCGUCGGCGAAAGUUUCCUCUCCGCUGCCGUCAGCGGAUUCCCGUCCUCUCCCCCCUGUUGCCGUCAAUAGAUUCCCGCCCCCUCCGCCCUGCUUACUCUGCUUCCAUCGGCGGAAGCUUCCUCUCCGCUGCCGUGUGGUGUCUUUUGUUGUUUCUCUCGCCUUGCGACUCCUUCCUUCUUCCAGUAGAAGAAGGAUCAAGAACUUUUAAUGUCCUAUUCCGCCAUUGUUAGGGAGACCGAGAAAUCUCAGCUCGAACAAUGAGGGUUCAUCAGGAUUUGUCUCUUCAUUCAUUAUAUAAACUUGUCUGGCCGAUCGAGGAGUGAUUAGGGAUUGA